rnacentral:rRNA from 1 species
GAACGCUGGCGGCAGGCUUAACACAUGCAAGUCGAGCGGAAACGAUGAUAGCUUGCUAUCAGGCGUCGAGCGGCGGACGGGUGAGUAAUACUUAGGAAUCUACCUAGUAGUGGGGGAUAGCACGGGGAAACUCGUAUUAAUACCGCAUACGUCCUACGGGAGAAAGGGGGCAACUUGUUGCUCUCGCUAUUAGAUGAGCCUAAGUCGGAUUAGCUAGAUGGUGGGGUAAAGGCCUACCAUGGCGACGAUCUGUAGCUGGUCUGAGAGGAUGAUCAGCCACACCGGGACUGAGACACGGCCCGGACUCCUACGGGAGGCAGCAGUGGGGAAUAUUGGACAAUGGGGGAAACCCUGAUCCAGCCAUGCCGCGUGUGUGAAGAAGGCCUUUUGGUUGUAAAGCACUUUAAGCAGUGAAGAAGACUCUUCGGUUAAUACCCGGAGACGAUGACAUUAGCUGCAGAAUAAGCACCGGCUAACUCUGUGCCAGCAGCCGCGGUAAUACAGAGGGUGCAAGCGUUAAUCGGAAUUACUGGGCGUAAAGCGAGCGUAGGUGGCUUGAUAAGUCAGAUGUGAAAUCCCCGGGCUUAACCUGGGAACUGCAUCUGAAACUGUUAGGCUAGAGUAGGUGAGAGGGAAGUAGAAUUUCAGGUGUAGCGGUGAAAUGCGUAGAGAUCUGAAGGAAUACCGAUGGCGAAGGCAGCUUCCUGGCAUCAUACUGACACUGAGGCUCGAAAGCGUGGGUAGCAAACAGGAUUAGAUACCCUGGUAGUCCACGCCGUAAA